UACAGAGGGUGCAAGCGUUGUUCGGAAUUACUGGGCGUAAAGCGCGUGUAGGCUGCGGCGUAAGUCGGAUGUGAAAGCCCUUGGCUUAACCAAGGAAGUGCAUCUGAUACUGCGUCGCUUGAGUGUCGGAGGGGAUGGCGGAAUUCCCGGUGUAGAGGUGAAAUUCGUAGAUAUCGGGAGGAACACCUGUGGCGAAGGCGGCCAUCUGGACGAUAACUGACGCUGAGACGCGAAAGCGUGGGUAGCAAACAGG
rnacentral:rRNA from 1 species